GAGGAGUUGCUGCCUACAUAUCUCAAUGGCUGUAUGGAACAACCACCAAUGACAGACCAAAGAGUAUGGAACAACCUCCAAUGACCGACCAAAGAGUAAUGAACAACCAUCGAAGACCAACCAAAGAGUAUGGAACAACCACCAACGACAGACCAGAUAGUAUUGAACAAACACCAAUGACAGAUCAAAGAAUACGGAACAAUCACCAAUGACAGACCGGAUAGGAUGGAACAGCCACCAAUGACAGACCAAAGAGUAUGGAACAACCACCAAUGACAGGCCAGAAUAUGGAAUCAAAAUCUGACAAAUCACAGCUGAAAUAAUGAACAAAACAGACCAGAGCACAGGAUCACUAAUUACAGACCAAAGUAUGGUAUAACCGCUAGCAUCAGACCAGAGGAGGAGACAGCAAUACUAAAAGGCCCUUAAAAGAUGGAAGCAACAACGAUGACAGAAAGCAAGGAAAGCAAUCACUAGAUGGAACCACAUUUAAGACAGACUAAAGCAUAUGACGACGCAGGACAGACCAAAUAGUAUGGAACAAGCACAAAAUACAGACCAGAAGAUGGAACCAAACUCUACAAAUGCCAUCGCUGAAAUAACAAACAACACAACAGAUAACACGGAAAUAAUGGAAAACGGCCUUUGAAACGAGACUUCAGAAGAUGGAACCAAAACCUUAGAGGAACCGGAACAAAGGACCCAGAGUGAUAGAGCACAUAGUAUGGUGCAACCACCAGCAACAGACAACGGCAUGAAGGACCACAACUUAUGACAACCCAUAACGGAUCUGAAAUAAUGAAACAAGAAACAGAGGGAACCACAACCCAGGCCACGACUACAGAGAAUUCGGACUACAAGUAAUGAUAGAUCUAAGGACAUCGAUCCAAGAAAGACCACAGAGGCUAUGGCAACCAUUCAUGACGGAUAAAGGAAUAGAACUCUCAAUUACUACAGAAAGAAUCUCAUACCAGAGUCUAGUUCCAGUGUUGACAGCAACAAUUCCUUACAAAACAGACAGGAGCUAGUUGGAUGCAACACUGUGGGUGGAAUGUACAUCAUUUGACUGGAUGGAAAAACAUGCCAUAGGCCUGAUUGAUCUAAAACCUGUCGCCCUUCAAACUGAGCUACAUACCGUUAAAGUUCAGGAACGAAUUUCCUCCAAAUCGGAUUGGAUAUUGCAAGUCUAGUGUUUUGAACAUGACUGUAUCCUGUUUUCCCGGUGUCUACAAAAUCUUCACUCGUGCACAAGCAGGCUGCUGAAAAAUAUCUGUAAAUUUGAACCUGUAACCUGGGACGAAGGAAUGUUUCAAUUGGUAUAUGGAGCUGUUCACUGAACUAAAGACAUUUAACCCUAAAGUUAGAAAAAAUAUGUUUUAUUUUUUAUUAUGAUUUAAUCGAAAUGUUGUUAGUCAUUUGAUGAAGGGCUAUAUAAUUUUUUUAGAUGACACCCAAUCAACAGGCCUAGGGAUUAAAGUAAACUUUAGGUUAUUUUUUGGAAAGAACAAUACCUGAAAGUUUAUUGCAAUUUCAAAACAUUCCCGAACAGUAAUAACUAGGAAGUUAUUUUUUACUCUCAUAAAACGUAUCUGUAGAAAAUGCUAAUAAAUGCUGUUAAACUUUUCCAACAUGUCAAUAUCUAUUUUUAAAAUCCAUUUACCUGAUAAAUGAAACAAAUAGUUAAUUUAAUUUAAAGAUUGAAACUACUUCUUUCAGCAAGUCAGUAAAUUAUAUGAAUCCUGUAUUACAACAAUUGUCUAAUCAGAGAAAAAAUGUGUAUCUUUUAUAUUUGAUAGUUUUGUUUAUCACAUAAUAUACCCUGGAGUGUUUUUUCAUUGGCUGUGCCAG